GUAACCAACUAUAAACAUUGGCACCUGCGGGCCUGUCACCUUUCUUCUACACGGCCAUGCCGGCGAUUGCUUUUCUGCAACCUUAAACCUUACCGAUUCUCCAACGAAAAUGCGAAGGAAUUGUACGCCAAGGAUUUUCUCCGGCUUCCCGCCGCGUCCCUUUGCAACUCCCAACUGCAUGAAAAAAGAUGGUCAGGUAAAAGCUGUGAGAACGAUGGUAAUCUGAGCGGACCGUGGGAUCGGCCGCUCCAAGACGACUUUAAUCUUCAUAAUGAAGUCGACGCUUAUCGGUUUCGUUAAUUAAGCGAGCGACUCAUCGGAUCGUAGCCUCCCAAGAUGACGGUUGCAGUGGCAACGCCGUAGGGUCUCUUUCGAUUUCGAAGAAGCGACGCAAGAAGAAUGUAGUCUUGUCAUCGACUUACCGAUGUACGGUACUUUCGAGUCCUCCAGUUUUUUCGCCCUUUUCCCUUGCUAGCGUAUACGCACGUGUCCAUCCGACGAACGUUAAUUAUUCGGAUAAACAGCGCGACGCUUUUCUUUCAAGUUAUAUCGAUCCAACAUCUAAGAUAAUCCUCUCGUUUUCGUUUCAAUGGAAUGCAGAAGUCACCGCACAGCCGUGUGACAGUUGACUACCAUGUAACAUAAUGUCGUGGCUUUCCAAUGGCGGUAUUCUACAUGCAGAGUACACUAAAUCUCUCGAGGGAGGAAAAAAUACACAUAGCGCGUGUCUUACUUCGCUGUCCGAAACGCCAGGGAAAUAUAUGGCGAUCGUUCCGGGGAGGGAAUAUAAAUUUUAGCUGAAUUUUUUUCUAAUGCCGGUUCUAAACAGUCGACCGAUGUGAUCGUAAGAUAUCCACGGGAAGUAUCUCGUAACUUAUACACCAAUGUAUCUGUAUUGAGCUUAAACGCGCCAUUUAUAAGCGCUCGCAUCCGUUUAAGUGGCAAACGAGCGUGUUGUCGCGUAUAUGCAAGCGUCGCAGUGCAUUUCUCUUCAGUCUUUCGAAGAAUGUCGACCUUUUACCGCGCCGAAGUAUUCCACUACGUGAUUCCGUACAAUGAGUUCGAAUCUGGUCUCCUCCCGGGACACCCGGUAUAUUUACAUAGGCUUUUGCCAUGGUACUGGCAAGAUGCUGCUGGAAGCGCUGGACCAACACCUGUACAACUACGAUACGAGUUAUCGCGUUGUCGUACAAGCAGCAAGUAAACUAUAGUUUAAAUCUUCUCUUGCCGGAAAUAGUCUUUUGCCACGUUUCAAAGUGGCCGGAUUUUAUAGAAAAAGCGUUCGAUUGUUCGGUACAG
rnacentral:misc_RNA from 1 species